UUGCUCUUCAACGAGGAAUGCCUAGUAAGCGCAUGUCAUCAGCAUGCGUUGAUUACGUCCCUGCCCUUUGUACACACCGCCCGUCGCUACUACCGAUUGAAUGGCUCAGUGAGGCCUUCGGACUGGCUCAGGGAGGUCGGCAACGACCACCCAGAGCCGGAAAGUUCGUCAAACUGAGUCAUUUAGAGGAAGUAAAAGUCGUAACAAGGUUUCCGUAGGUGAACCUGCGGAAGGAUCAUUAAAGAGAAAGGGUUCCCGCAAGGGAGCCCGACCUCCCNACCCUUUGUUAGUCGGUAGAAACGCGUUGCCUCGGCGGGUUCGCCCGAGAGGGCGACCCCGGGCCUCCCAGCGAGACCCCGGGGCCACACCCGCCGGCGGCCAAUCAAACAAACUCUUUUUGAAAACAUUGAAGUCCGAGAAAACUUGAUUUAAUCAAAAACAAAACUUUCAACAACGGAUCUCUUGGUUCUGGCAUCGAUGAAGAACGCAGCGAAAUGCGAUAAGUAAUGUGAAUUGCAGAAUUCAGUGAAUCAUCGAAUCUUUGAACGCACAUUGCGCCCCCUGGUAUUCCGGGGGGCAUGCCUGUUCGAGCGUCAUUACACCAAUCAAGCACCGCUUGGUAUUGGAGGCCGCCCCUGUCCCCUCGGGACCGGAGGGCCCCUCCCAAAUGCAUCGGCGAGGAUUGCGACCCCCGGCGUGUUAAAAAAUCUUGUCCCCUUGCGAAAGGGCUCACGAUACGCCUGGAGCACCGCUAGAGCCUCCGCCGUCGAAAAGAAACCCCCGUCCGCGUCCGCGAGGCCGCGGCGAGGGGAUCAUCACACAAGGUUGACCUCGGAUCAGGUAGGGAUACCCGCUGAACUUAAGCAUAUCAAUAAGCGGAGGA
rnacentral:rRNA from 1 species